GCUAGCAGAGCACUAUCAAGAACAACCCAGAAUCGCUUUUGAGGUAAGGCUGACGCUCCAUAAAUUCUCGGCCUCGUUUUGCUUUGUCUUGCAGAUUUGGUUUGUAGCCUAAGUGCGCUUUGGAUGCUUGUAUUGGAAAUGAAGGUUCAUCAUUCCUUUCGGGAUGCAAGAAGAUUCCCUUAUUCUAAUCUUGUUUUCGUAGUCAUCGUUUGGAAUGGAAGUCUAACUGUUAUUUCAUCCCGACGAAUUAGGUGAAAUCUAAUUUUCGACCAGUCAAACAUCCCAUCAAGGUGAUUUGAGUAUGCUAACUUAGCAUUUCCGGGGUGCGAUAAUUCGCAGCUCAUGACUUUGCUCGGUUGGGUCGUGGCUGACGAAAGAGACACCGACACCAGCACCGGCAGUGAGCACCAGAGAGACUCGCAAGACGUGCUGCUAGACUGGCAUGAUAUUUCUGCAAUAAAUUUGACAUCUCUAUCGUCAUCUCCAGCUACAACCUUGCCAUGGAUCCGGUGAAGAGCAACCUUGAGUUGGCAAUUCAUUUCUACGGUUGGGUGAUCAAUAAAAGCUUGAAUUAAAACCCG
rnacentral:lncRNA from 1 species